UGGGGGAUAUUGCACAAUGGAGGAAACUCUGAUGCAGCGACGCCGCGUGAAGGAAGACGUGCUUCGGCAUGUAAACUUCUAUCAGCAGGGAAGAAGAUGACGGUACCUGACUAAGAAGCCCCGGCUAACUACGUGCCAGCAGCCGCGGUAAUACGUAGGGGGCAAGCGUUAUCCGGAUUUACUGGGUGUAAAGGGAGCGUAGACGGUGAUGCAAGUCUGAUGUGAAACCCCGGGGCUUAACUCCGGGCUUGCAUUGGAAACUGUACCACUUGAGUACUGGAGGGGCAGGCGGAAUUCCUGGUGUAGCGGUGAAAUGCGUAGAUAUCAGGAAGAACACCGGUGGCGAAGGCGGCCUGCUGGACAGUCACUGACGUUGAGGCUC
rnacentral:rRNA from 1 species